GGUGAUGUCAUCGCUCAAUGGCAGAGCAUGUGCCUGGCAGGCAAAUGGUCCCAGGUUCAAUUCCUGGCAUCUCCA